AAGUCGUAACAAGGUCUCCGUUGGUGAACCAGCGGAGGGAUCAUUGCUGGAACGCGCCCCAGGCGCACCCAGAAACCCUUUGUGAACUUAUACCUGACUGUUGCCUCGGCACAGGCCGGCCCCCCAUGGGGGGCCCCUCGGAGACGAGGAGCAGGCCCGCCGGCGGCCAAGUUAACUCUUGUUUUUAUACCGAAACUCUGAGCAGAAAACACAAAUGAAUCAAAACUUUCAACAACGGAUCUCUUGGUUCUG
rnacentral:misc_RNA from 1 species